UACAUUUUUAAGAAAUAUGCUAAACUUAAGAAUAUUUUUAAUGUAUUUAUAUUAAGUGUACUAAAAGUAUGCUGGUAAUAAAUAUAUGCAUAAUUACACUUUUAAGAAAUAUGCUAAACACAAAUGUACUUCUAGUGAAGUUUUAGUAUAUUUGGAUAAAACAUACUUUUUUCAAAACAUGAUUCAUUAAUUGUAAUAAGCUAACAUUGAACUUUCCUCAAACAUUUCAACAUUAUAUCAUUCCGAUUGCAUAAUAAACUAUUUUUUCAAAGAUUUGCUUAAAAUCUUACAUUUGCUAGUGUUUAAUUUCAAACAACACACGUGACACACGUGACUAAACCUGAUUGGUUGUUGUCAUAGUAACACGUCACGGUGCUAUUUGAAACUUGUUCAGUUCAGUACAGUUGUUCACGAGGUGCAUGCGGUCGCUUGCAUUAAACGUAUAAACUGUUAAAUUAGAUGGCGACUCUGCAUUAAACGUAUUUAUUUAAUUAAUCGGCGAUCAUAUUUCACCAGAGGACUAAGAUAAAACAACUCGAUUUAAAAUGUGAGCAGUUUUAGUGGAUCUGACGUUGAGGGAAAAAGUAUUUCGCUUUUUGUUUGGAGAUGAACGAGACAACACGAGGGUAAGUGAUGACAGAUUUUCACAUUUCUUUAUUUAGUUAACUAUUAAAUAAGUAAAACAUUACAUUACAUUUAACCCAGCUUCUUUAUGUAACGUUAUGUCUGUGUUGCGUGUGGUAAUUGGAACAUCUUUAUUUUCUGACUAACGUUAGGCAUUUCUCUUAAGCAUUUCAGAAAUCAUUAAAACCUUUCAUUUUUUUUAGCACAGCGACAUAAAUAUGACCAACCAGAUCCCAAGUAGACAGGAACAAAUGAAGAUAUAGCGCAUAGAAAGACUUAUUCUUGGUGAUCAACUGCUAUUGACAUUUUUGAAUCGGGGCAAAUGUGGAGUGAUUCGGAAGAAAAACGUUUGCAACACAUCCAUUCCAGAGUGCUCUGACAGAUAAAACUGACACGCUUGAUGAGGACACAGUCAAAGCUUUAAAAGACCGUGUGAUAAAGCAGUCUUCAAUUACUACGGUGUCUGAAUUGCAAGAAGUGGUGACCCUCCACUUAAACAUGUGACAUCUAAACUGUUUUGUGUUUUAGUUCAGCUUUUUAUAGGUUUAUCUUAAGUUGGUUAAAGGCGGAGUGCACUAUUUUUGAAAGCCAAUGUUAACAUUUGAAAUUACCUAAACAAACAUGCCUCUACCCCAAUAGAAUCUGGACCUUCUUUUGAUAGAGCCACCACACACAUACGCAACCCCGGCAAGGAUGUCAGUUAGUAGACACGCCCCUUACUGCUGGUUGGCUACAACUGUGUUGUGGUAGUCGGCCCAAUUUCCUUUUCCAAAGCGUUUUUCAAACAUUGUGCACUCCGUCUUUAAAUUGCACUUAAAACAUUUUUUUUUCAGUAACUUUUUAUGCAGAGAAUUACAUUAUGAUUAUUAUAUAAUCAUUGCUUAUGAAUAUUUAGUGAUUGCAUAUUCAUAGUGUACUUUUCAUUAAUACAUUUAAUGUUAAUGUUGUACAAUUUGAUAGAAGUAGCUCUGUAAUUGCAUUUCUCUGAUAUUUGUU